rnacentral:rRNA from 1 species
UCAUAAACAACCAGGAUGUUGGCUCAGAAGCAGCCACCAUUUAAAGAGUGCGUAAUAGCUCACUGGUCGAGAGACCCUGCGCCGAAGAUUCCCGGGGCUAAAGUACGAAACCGAAGCUGUGGCUGUAUACGUAAAGUAUACGGGGUAGGGGAGCGUUCCCAUAGGGUAGAAGUCGAACUGGAAGGUUCGGUGGACUUGUGGGAAGUGAGAAUGUUGGUAUGAGUAGCGAAAAGAAAGGUGAGAAUCCUUUCCACCGAAAGCAUAAGGAUUCCUGAGCAACGAUCGUCGUCUCAGGGUAAGUCGGGACCUAAUCCGAGGCAGAGAGCGUAGGAGAUGGACAACUGGUUGAUAUUCCAGUACCGGUAGUAAUUGUUUGAGCAAUGGAGUGACACAGAAGGGCAGGCAAGCAUGCGAAUGGAAGAGCAUGUGUAAGCGUGUAGGGUGGUGCAUAGGCAAAUCCGUGCACUGAAAGCCUGAGGCGUGAUGCGGAGUGAGCAGAGAUGCGAGCGAAGUUGUUGACCCCACACUGUCGAGAAAAGCUUCUAGUGAGAGAGCUACCGCCCGUACCGUAAACCGACACAGGUAUGCGGGGAGAGAAUCCUAAGGUGCGCGGGAGAACCCUCGUUAAGGAACUCGGCAAAAUGUACCCGUAACUUCGGGAUAAGGGUAGCCACUGUUGUGAAGUCCCAUGCGGAUGGAGCAUAGAGUGGUCGCAGAGAAGAGGCCCAAGCGACUGUUUACCAUAAACACAGGUGCCUGCUAAAGCGAAAGCUGACGUAUAGGUGCUGACACCUGCCCAGUGCCGGAAGGUUAAGGAAGGAUGUUCGGAUUAGUCCAAAGCAUUCGACUGAAGCCCCGGUGAACGGCGGCCGUAACUAUAACGGUCCUAAGGUAGCGAAAUUCCUUGUCGGGUAAGUUCCGACCCGCACGAAAGGUGUAACGAUUUGGGCACUGUCUCAACGAGGGACCCGGUGAAAUUGAAAUACCUGUGAAGAUGCAGGUUACCCGCGACUGGACAGAAAGACCCCAUGGAGCUUUACUGUAACCUGACAUUGGGUUUUGAUACAUUACGUACAGGAUAGGUGGGAGGCUUGGAAAGCUGGACGCUAGUCUGGCUGGAGCCGACGUUGGGAUACCACCCUUGAUGUAUUGAAAUUCUAACCGCGAGAGUAACGAAAUCCGGGACAGUGUCAGGCGGGCAGUUUGACUGGGGCGGUCGCCUCCGAAAGAGUAACGGAGGCGCCCAAAGGUUCCCUCAGCGCGGCCGGAAAUCGCGCGAAGAGUGUAAAGGCAGAAGGGAGCUUGACUGCGAGUCAAACACGACGAGCAGGUACGAAAGUAGGGCUUAGUGAUCCGGUGGUACCGAGUGGAAGGGCCAUCGCUCAACGGAUAAAAGCUACCCUGGGGAUAACAGGCUAAUCUCUCCCAAGAGUCCAUAUCGACGGGGAGGUUUGGCACCUCGAUGUCGGCUCAUCACAUCCUGGGGCUGAAGUCGGUCCCAAGGGUUGGGCUGUUCGCCCAUUAAAGUGGUACGUGAGCUGGGUUCAGAACGUCGUGAGACAGUUCGGUCC